rnacentral:rRNA from 1 species
AGGCGCCCUAAACUCACACUGAAAGAAAAAUGGUGUAUCCUCAAGGAGGCAACUAGGCUGUAUGGGGCUUCCUGGGUCAGGGACAUCGGUCCAGAGCUCAGGCCGAAUGAUUACAAGAAGGCCAAAGAGGAAUCUGAUCCCAACAGCACCGAGGGGAAAACCAAAAGUGAACCUACUUUGCUUGAGGAUCUCGCGGUGGCAGCGAAGGGUGGGAACGAGACUCUGAAACCCGCACUGCGACGCAUAUACAUCACCCGUUCCUCAACCUACACAAGUGCAGUGAAGAACUAUGAGGAGACUUAUCAGGAAGGGCUGAAGGAUGUGUUGGAUGAGAAGGCAAGAAAGGGUCACCAGCAAGGCAAUGAGCCGAGGAGAUCAUCGACGUCGCCUCCACCCCCGCAAUCAUCAUCAUGA